rnacentral:rRNA from 1 species
UCAAGUUAAAAAGAGCAUAAGGCGGAUGCCUUGGCACUAGGAGCCGACGAAGGACGUGACAAGCUGCGAUAAGCUGCGGUAAGGAGCAAAUAUCCGUUAUGAACCGCAGAUUUCCGAAUGGGGGAACCCACCUGUAGUAAUGUGCAGGUACAGCUGUGUGAAUAAAAUAGCGCAGUAUGAGGAAACGGGGUGAACUGAAACAUCUAAGUAGCCCCAGGAGAAGAAAGAAACAUCGAUUUCCCAAGUAGCGGCGAGCGAACGGGAAGGAGGCCAAACCGAUAACUUGUUAUCGGGGUUGCGGAUCAUCAUAAAUGAUUCUAAAAGGAUAGUCGAACGGUUUUGGAACAGCCGAGCGAAGAGGGUGAAACUCCCGUAGACGAAAUCCGGAUAGACAUAGAUGACACCAGAGUAGUACCGGACACGUGAAACCCGGUAUGAAGCCGGAGGGCCCACCCUCCAAGCCUAAAUACUACCUAGUGACCGAUAGAGAACAGUACCGUGAGGGAAAGGUGAAAAGGACCCCGGGAGGGGAGUGAAAUAGAACCUGAAACCUUAUGCUUACAAGCAAUGGGAGCGCAAGUGACCAUGUACUUUUUGUAGAACGGGCCAACGAGUUAUGGUAUGUAGCGAGGUUAAGAUGCUGGAGCAUUGGAGCCGAAGCGAAAGCGAGUCUUAAUAGGGCGAUUAGUUAUAUGCUGUAGACCCGAAACCGGGUGACCUAUCCAUGUGCAGGUUGAAGCGAGAGUAAAAUCUCGUGGAGGACCGAACCCAUAUACGUUGAAAAGUGUUGGGAUGACGUGUGGAUAGCGGUGAAAUUCCAAUCGAACUCGGAUAUAGCUGGUUCUCCUCGAAAUAGCUUUAGGGCUAGCCUCAUAGUAAGAUACGCAGGGGUAGAGCACUGAAUGUUCUAGGGGCCUUCACCGGUUACCGAAAACUAUCAAACUCCGAAUACUGCGCAAUCAUCUAUGGGAGUCAGACUAUGAGAGAUAAGUUCCAUGGUCGAAAGGGAAACAGCCCAGACCUACAGCUAAGGUCCCAAAAUGUAAGUUAAGUGGAAAAGGAUGUGGAGCUGCAUAAACAGCUAGGAUGUUGGCUUAGAAGCAGCCAUUCAUUUAAAGAGUGCGUAACAGCUCACUAGUCGAGUGGCUCUGCGCCGAAGAUAAACGGGGCUAAAACUUACUACCGAAGCUUAGGAUACCUUUUGGUAUGGUAGAGGAGCAUCGUAUAAGAGUCGAAGGUGAACUGUAAGGUAAGCUGGAUUUUAUACGAGAGAGAAUGUUGGCAUGAGUAGCGAGAGGCAGGUGAGAAUCCUGCCCACCGAAAAUCUAAGGUUUCCUGAGGAAGGUUCGUCCACUCAGGGUUAGUCGGGACCUAAGCCGAGGACGAGAGUCGUAGGCGAUGGACAACUGGUUGAGAUUCCAGUACCACCGAAAGUCGUUUGAGUGAAGUGGGGACACAGAAGGAUAGACAGAGCACGCCGUUGGUAGAGCGUGUCCAAGCAGUGAGGCUUGUGCGUAGGCAAAUCCGCGCAUUUUAAGGCUAGGCUGUGAUGGGGAGGGAAAAAAGUACCGGAAGCUGUUGAUUUCACACUGUCAAGAAAAGCCGCUAGCGAGACCGUAGGUGCCCGUACCGCAAACCGACACAGGUAGAUGAGGAGAGAAUCCUAAGGUGAGCGAGAGAACUAUUGUUAAGGAACUCGGCAAAAUUACCCCGUAACUUCGGGAGAAGGGGUGCCAUCGAAAGAUGGCCGCAGUGAAAAGGCCCAGGCGACUGUUUAGCAAAAACACAGGUCUCUGCUAAAGCGAAAGCUGAAGUAUAGGGGCUGACGCCUGCCCGGUGCUGGAAGGUUAAGGGGACUGCUUAGAGCAAUCGAAGGCAUGAACUUAAGCCCCAGUAAACGGCGGCCGUAACUAUAACGGUCCUAAGGUAGCGAAAUUCCUUGUCAGGUAAGUUCUGACCCGCACGAAAGGCGUAACGAUCUGGGCGCUGUCUCAACAAUAGACUCG